AAAUACUUGUUUAAGAUUUGAUUACAAUUCUUAAGCAUUAUUUAUUAAAGACAUGUAUAUAUACUUAACGUGAGAUAGUAUUCCAAAAGAAUCAUAACAUUACUAUACUAAAAUCUGAAGUACAUUUAAAUCCCCAUUAACUUCUAAACCCUCAUACGGGCCUUCCACGCACGGGAUAAUGUUCUUUUGCCUAUAAUGAAGGGCAGGGUUUCUCUCCUUCUGUACCACAGAAAGCCGAGGAAGCAGAUGUCAUCUUUGUUCUUUGACACCAGCGCUUAACAGUGUACUCUUGUAAAUCAGACUGCCUCUACCAUGCAUCACCGCUUCAGAUUCAUUACCUAUAACCCAGAGAACUGCUAAAGACAAAUAAAUCAAGGAUUGCUUUUAUUCCUCCCCACUUUAUUGACAUCACUUUCCACAUGUAACACAACAAGGCUUCACCUCCCUGAUAUUACUGAACUGUUCAUAGUACUACUGGAAUUUUCAGACAUACAUACUAACCGAUAAGGUGACAAUCAAUCCGAUUAGCUAUGCAAAGAUAAAAGGUGACCACAAAGAUAGGUAAAAGCUAUUAUAUGACCUGUUGUGGAC
rnacentral:lncRNA from 1 species